AUCUACGGCCAUACCACCCUAAAUGCGCCCGAUCUCGUCUGAUCUUGGAAGCUAAGCAGGGUCGGGCCUGGUUAGUACUUGGAUGGGAAAAUUGAGAGUCCCCAGGGAAUCCAGAAAUCUCAAAAUU
ensembl:rRNA 5S_rRNA 5S ribosomal RNA